GUCUCGCCAUACCAAACAAUACACGUCUAAAUCAUACCAGCCAAACAAGUAACUCCGAAGCAAAUGGAGCACACCAACAUCUUCUGCUGAGCUGAUAGCCUACUUGGAGGGCUCUCGACCUGUCUAUCGGGACCCGCAGGCAUGAAAUGCAGCAUUCCCAGGCAAAAGGGACGUCUGUACAAAAAAUGUACCUAGUUUGUAAGGCACAUAAAUAAGUACAUAACAGACAUGAAAGAAAUAUAGAGUACUUAACUCAACCUGUAAGUCUGAAUAACUCUGUAAAUCAUGAAAUAUUUUUAGCGUCAUGCAUAUGCAUAUGAAUGUCAUGUUGUGCAUAGGUACAUGUCUCAUAACAUCAUCAGCCUCUGAGAGCAUCUCAUCGUAUCAUAUCGGCCAUUGUGGGCAAAAUUAUCAAUGUAUACUAGUUGGUCAGGUGGUGGUGUGUAUAUAAUGCCGUAACCUUUUUCCACAUCCCAUAUACAUAAAUAUACAUAUAUGCGCGUAUAUAACGCCAUCUGGUCAUGGGUCAAUGCACAUGAGUAAAAUGCAUGAAAAAUACGUAAUAAUCUCAAUAUUAGUUCCGGAUAAACUUUUCCAACUGCGUAUUAUUCUGAGACCCAUGAACAGAAAAUAAUAAUAAUUUUCAUGGGGAAUCAAGAAUAUAGACACCCCUAAUAAUUCUAUGAAUAGAGUAAUUUAUGGAAACCGUGUGUUCGCUCGUUUCUUUAGUAUCAUAUGGACCAUGCCAAAAAAAAGGAGGGAUAACUUUAACAUACCUGGAGUAGGAACAACUCUGUAUAAUUAUCCCGUUGAAAACUUUCGUGGAUUGAAUUUAGAACCCAAAAAUUGGAUUUAAGCUUCUGCGCUUUUGAACUUGAGGAACGAAAUUGGCUUGGAUUUACUUGAAAUUGGAACGAAUCUUGGAUUAGAUUUGAAAUUUGGACGAACUUAUUCAUAUUCUACUUCUCACGUCAUUUGUUUGAAACCAAAACAGAAUUCUUUCAUUUUGAGUUGC
rnacentral:lncRNA from 1 species